AAACUCUGGAGAGACCCGUUAUGGGCGCCGAAGGGGCAAGGCUUAUGCUCAAUCUCUCAGGCAAAAGGACAGGGAU
rnacentral:ncRNA from 1 species